rnacentral:rRNA from 1 species
UGAGGAAUAUUGGUCAAUGGCCGUAAGGCUGAACCAGCCAAGUCGCGUGAGGGACGACUGCCCUAUGGGUUGUAAACCUCUUUUAUUCGGGAAGAAUAAUGGUUACGUGUAACCAGAUGCCUGUACCGAAUGAAUAAGCAUCGGCUAACUCCGUGCCAGCAGCCGCGGUAAUACGGAGGAUGCGAGCGUUAUCCGGAUUUAUUGGGUUUAAAGGGUGCGUAGGCGGUUUCUUAAGUUAGUGGUAAAAUUUCCGGGCUUACCCCGGUCAUGCCAUUAAAACUGGGAAACUCGAGUACAGACGAGGUAGGCGGAAUAAGUUAAGUAGCGGUGAAAUGCUUAGAUAUAACUUAGAACUCCGAUAGCGAAGGCAGCUUACCAGACUGUAACUGACGCUGAUGCACGAGAGCAUGGGUAGCGAACA